rnacentral:lncRNA from 10 species
GAGAUUGCACGAUUGUACUCCAGCCUGGGUAGUAAGAGCGAAACUCCAUCUCAGAAAAACAAAAAACAAAAACAAAAAAGCAAAACAACCCUUGGCUCCUCAAGCAUGUGAGCUCAGGCAGGGCCAGCCCAGCCUUAACUGUGGAGGCUGGUGGGACAGUCCCAUGGGGAAGCCCACUGCUGCGCCGCUUGGAGGAGGAAACCCAGCAUGUGAGGCUGCUCAUUGUCACGUGGUUUGCUGUGCUCUGCAGAAGGAGAUUCUGUGUUCACACCCAGGAUGUCAUGGAAGAGGAGCUCAUCCCAUUCAUCUCCCUGGCACAGGGUAGACACUUGGGGGAUGCUGCAUUAAGUGAAGUGAACCUGACUCUGUUUCUUUAGCCCCAGCCCACCCGAGUCUCAAUCUUCCCAUCUGUCAAGAGAAAUAAUAAGAUUAUUUGCCUCUAAACAGGUGGCUGAGAUCAUAGAUAGUGCAAAUGAUGUCACUGUUGGACUCUCCGGUGUUAUAUAAAUUUAAGACAUGAACAAUAAAGAAACUACCGAUAUUUACUGCUCAGACAUGCCCACGUUAAGAUUUUAAUGGCUAAAAGGCAGUUGUUUUUCCAUCUGACAUUAUGUUAUUCAACAGAGUAAGUAGUCUAAGUUGGAGGAAUCCCCUUGGGAAUUGACUACAAAGAGCAAAUAAAAAAGAGUAACAGAUCCAAGACCCUUACCCCUUAAAUUUAUUUUCACUUCCUAAAUUGAACUUCAUGCAAAAUAGGUUAUUUAUCACUAGGGUAAAAUAAGAUAAUGGGGAGGUUUAAUUAGCCAAAGCCCUGUGAUAACGCGUUUCUUCCUUACCAAAUACCCAAUGAGAAUGCAUAUCAUUAAUUCUGUGGUUAGCUAAUAAGAAAAUGAAAAAAGCUCCCUUAAUUUUUCCUUGAAAAAAUUUUUAAACUAACACAAAGAUGCCAAUGAAUGAGUAUUUUGCUUACAUCCAUUCACUCCAUCCAACUCUCAUUCAAAUGCUCAUUGUGCACCUGCUAAGGUCAGGUGCGUGCUUUCUGCCAAGCAUUCCAAGAGGAACGUCACAUAGUCUUUGCCCUCAGGAAGCGUACGGUCUGGUUGGGAAAGAGAUGCUUCCAACAAUAAUUCUGAUACCUGUGUGAUAUGGUUUGGCUGUGUCCCCACCCAAAUCUCAUCCUGAAUCCUACUCCCAUAAUUCCCACGUGUUGUGGGAUGGAACUGGUGAGAGAUAAUUGAAUCACGAGCGCGGUUUCUCCCAUACUGUUCUUGUGCUAGUGAAUAAAUCUCACGAGAUCUGAUGGUUUUAUAAACGAGAAGCCCUUUUCGCUUGACCCUCAUUAUAGCUCAUGCCGCAGCCAGGUAAGAAGUGCCUUUCGCCUUCCGCCUUCCGCCAUGACUGUUAGGCCUCCCUAGCCACGUGGAACUUUAAGUCCAUUAAACGUCUUUCUUUUAUAAAUUGCCCAGUCUUGGGUAUGUCUUUAUCAGCAGCGCGAAAACAGAUUACUAACACACUGUGGUAAAGGUGAAAUCAGUGCUCACUCCUUCGGGUGAAUUCCGUCACAUAAUCUCCACUGGGGAAGGGGUGGGCAUGGGCAGCUCCUGGGAGCUGAUGUCUUAGGGGCCCUAACACAAAAGUUCAUGCAGUUCAGCAUCCCUUCCCCUCCCAUGCCCCACAGGGCACAAACGCAUUGUUGUCCAUCACCAAAACACAUUACCCUUAGUACUCGACUCUAAUGAAGUUCCAGUUCCUCAGUUGUAUAACGAGGCUUCCAAGCUCCUAUUUUAAAAGAAAGUUUCUUGAAGCUAAAUAAAAGCACUGCUAACAUGAAAUUAACAGUGGAAAUUUUUGAGUGUAAUUUCAGGGUGAAAAAAACUGAAAAGACAAAUGUAGAUUUUAGAUAUUUCAAGGAAGGAGAGAGAGUAGUGUUGCUGGUACCAUGCCUCUGCACUUGCUAUAGCUGAGUUUCAUUUGAGUAUCCAUUAUUUGGAAGGAGUUCUUAAAUCUAAGCCUGUGGAAGACAAUAAAUUCACAUUAAUUAUCUCUCCAUUUGACUCAAUUUCUGAAGAAGUUCUAUCCUUCUGAUGAACUAUCAGAUUAAAUCCCAGAUUCCUCAGUAUGAUGUCCCUGAAUACCAAUAUAAAGAAUAAAGGAAGAGAUCAAAACCUGGAUGAAUAAUCUGUAUAAACAUGGGCAUAUACACAAGGUAUGACUAUAAUAUUGAGACUCAUCCUAUAAAGCACCUACAAAAGUUGAUUGUAUUAUUUUAUACUUAUGCUUGUGCACAUAAAAAAUAUUUGGCAGGCUAAAGGCCAAAGAACCAGGCACUGUUCUCAAAAGGACAUAGCAGAUUAACUACACCUCUAUUUGUCCUUCUAUACUCAAGGCUACUUACUGUAGUUGGGUUGACCAGGCAGAGUUUAAAUCAAUAUAUGUUGGUUGAGCCUGGAUCUUAGAUGAGAAAUUCACACUAACGUGAAAUUCACACAGACAUAUGUGGAAACACUAAAAACAUUUUCUUUUACUUCAUCCACCAGUGACUUUAAUGAAAGCAGAGCAUAAUAAUUAAUACAAGUAAUUAGAGUUGACAACUGAAGUGUCAAGAAAACCACAGUUCAUCUGUUAUCCGUCCAUCUCUGUUGAAAUAUUAGUUUACUGCCAUAUAUUAAUCUAUUUAUAAAGAGAUCCAGACAAUUAGAAAAAUUAGUCUGGAAUCACCAGGCUGAAGGCUUAGCUGAAGUUAAAAGACAAGUAAAAAUGCCUCCAAACUGUAAAACCUGAGUUGGGGAAUAAAUGGUAAAAUGUGUAAAAAUUUAGAAAAAGGUUAUAUGUGGACUGUAAAAAAUACACUGGACUCACAGGUAAUUAAGGGGUGAAUCAGAGUUGUUUCCUAAAUGGCAUAAGCCAAACUCUUAGAUAUUUCUACCAUUAGCUAAAAGGCAGAGAAGCACUCUCUCUCUCUAUUAAUGCACUUUUAAAAAUGAAAAUUGUGAAGUGUUCUGCCCUUAAAGUGGACCUUUAUUUCAGGUCUGCAUUACUUUGCUUAAUAGAUAUGGUCCUAAAGAUUAAGGUGGUGAUCCAUUUUAUCUUGUAAAAAUGCAUAAUUUAAUCUGAGUUAUAGGAAUUUAAAGCUGCCCUACUUUGAAGGCCUUUGUGACUCAAAGAUUUUUUUAAUUUAAUUUUUAAAUUGAGAAUUACCUGGCUUGGGCUUUUGGUCUUUUUAUAAUACGUAUUGCUGUCUACUUUUUUUUUUAUUCUUGGCUGCCUCAAGCUAUUCUUGCCUCCAAAAGGUGUCAGCAUAUGAAUAAAAACAGCAGAAAAUAAUUACCCUAAUUAGGUCAAUGUAUUAAGCUGUUUCUACAACUGUUUCUCUUAAACACCUUAUCUUUGUAGUCUUGGCUCAUUAGAAAUUCGACUAGUGGUAAGUAUUUAUUUUUUUCCUUCAAGGGGGUUUUUGCUUUGCUAAGCCUCGGGCAUUUGGUUCGUGCAAGAAAUCACAGAAACUGCUCCAGCGGACUCCGAAAGGAGCGGAAAAUUCUUUUGUUUGGGGGCCAUGAGGGGUGGGGGAGGGGUGGGGAUUCUGGUGUAAGCUUUUGGCUUGCAUUCGCUUUCUCCCUCCGAAAGUGGGCGACAUCAAGCAAGUCCCAGUUACAGAAAGAACCCACUGCAGGGCGUCCAGUCACUUGCCCAGUGAAAAGACUGUAAUCAGACAACUUUAAUAAAGGGAGAGCAGGAGAGUGGUGACGAAUUUCCACAUUCCGAACAAGCUUGUCGAAAGAGGAGUGCAGGGAAGGAGCAAGAAUGAGGCACUGGAAGACGGCUGUAGGCGCAUGAUGUCACAAGUUAUUGGAAGAAAUCCCUCCAACCUAGGUUGGGACAGAUGAAGGCGGCGCUUAUUGGUGUUCACCAAAACACCAGCAUGGUGUACCAGCUUUGGCUAGAUGAUGCUCAGACGGGCCUGUCUAAUUGCAGGAAAACAAACUCAGGGCUCCCACUGAUUCUACAUUACGAACACCAGAGACUGGGUAAUUAAUAAAAAGAAGAAAUUGAUCUGGCCUACAGUUCUGGAGCCUUGGAAGUCCGAGAUCAAGGAGCUGCAUCUGAUAAAUACCUGGAGUGGGAUUGCUAGAUCACAUGGAAAACACAGAUCCUGGUGCCGAACAUGAGGACAGGGCAGGCCGAAGGAGAAAGUGGAAGGAGGGGAGCUUCUCUCUCAGCCUCAUCCUUCUGGGCCUGGAUGCUGGAGAGUCAUGAGGUGCUUCAGAGUACUCUGGGUGAGGAGGGAAAGAUGGUGCCCACCACAUGGAGGCCAGCCUAGGUCUUGUAUGAAACCUGUGAGGAGAUUCUCUCUCCCUUGCUGUCUUUGAAAAAGCAAGUUGCCAUGUGAAGAGGGCCAUAUAGCAUAGGAGCUGAAGGCAGCCUCCAACUGACGGCAAGAAAAUGAGGUCCUCAGUCUGACAACCUGCAAGAAACUGAAUGUUCUAAAAGCCACAUGAGCUUGGGAGCAGAUCUGACCCCAGCCAAAUCUCUGAAGUCCGCAGGCAGGAAAUGAAGAUCAGAAAAAGGCUAUUGUCUCAUGAAUAUGAGCCAGACUCCACAGAAGCUGGAGUCCUUCAUUAUGGAGCUAAACACAUACACCUGGCUUAGGAGUCAGAAAAACUGAAAGAGAAUUCAGGGAAGUAGAGAAAUUGCAAGCCCAGAUGCUGCUUCAUACCAAAGAAGCAAGUCAGCAGGUCAGCAACAAUGUGUAUCAGUUCCAAAAUGACUUACACAGGUACCAAGACAAGACAUUAUAUACACUUAUAUAGUCAAAUACUUUAAAACUGUUAACAAACUUGCUACAAUUGUCUCAUUUGUCUUUUAACCUUAAUAUCACAGAUCAAGUUUGUAAUCUCAAAAGUUCACCCUGGCUGCUGUGUGGAGUAUUCUCUUAUCUGCUCAUAUUACACUGUGCUUAUUCAUUCAUCAGUUAAUGGAAAUUUGGGUUGUUUCCUGAUUUUGACUGUAAUGAAUAAUGUUGCUGUAAACAUUCAUGUACAGUUUUGUGUGGACAUGCUUUUCUUUCUCUUGGGUAGGUUCCUAUGAGUGGAAUCACUAGAUUGUAUGGUAAAUGUAUGUUUAACUUUUAAAGAAACUGUCAAACUGUUUUCUAACAUGAACGGGCCAUUUUACGUUCUUAUCAACAAUAUAUGAUGGUUUCAAUUUUCCCACAUCCUCACCAACAUUUGGUAUUGUCUCUCUUUUACAUCAUAACUAUUUUAGUGGGGAUGUAGUGAUAUCUUAUCGUGGUUUUAAUUUGUGUCUCCCUAAUGACUAAUGAUAUUGUGCAUCUUUGCAUAUGCUUGUUAGCCAUUUAUGUACAUUCUUUAGUGAAAUGGCUAUUCAAAUCUUCUGCCCAUUUAAAAAUCGAGUUGUUUUUCUUAUUAUUCAGUUGUAAGAGUUUUUUCUUUAUUCUGUGCAAAAGUCCUUUAUCAAGUCUAGGAUUUUUGAAUAUUUUCUCAACCUAGAGCUUGUUUUUCAACAUUUUUUUCUUAAUGAUCUUUUGAAGUGCAAAAGUUUGAUUUUGAUGAAGUCUAAUGUAUCACUUCUUCCUUUAACUGUCAUGAUUUUUGUGUCGUAUCUAAGAACUCUUUACCCAACUCAAAGUUACCAAGGUAUUUUCUUCCAGAAGUUUUGCAGUUUUAACUCUUCUAUAUAGGCCUGUGAUCCAUUUUUAAUUCAUUUUUUGCAUAUGAUGUGAGAGAAGGGCCUAAGUUCAUAUUCGUACAUGUGGAUGUACAAUGGUUCCAGGAUCACUUGCUGAGAAAAGACUAUCCUUUCCCCAUUGAUUUUUUUGGCACCUGUGUCAAAAAUCAAUUGACCAUAAAUGCAAGCGUUUAUAUCUGAACUCUCAGUUCUUCUCCAUUCAUCUCUAAGGAUAUGUCUAUGCUUACAUCAAUAUCACAGUGUAUUCAUGUGGCUUUGUAGUAAAUUUUGAAAUUGGGUGAUAGAAGUCUUUCAAUUUUGUUCUUAGUUUUCAGAAUAGUUUUGGCUGUACUUUGCAUUUUGAUACAAAUUUUAGGAUGUAUGUGUGAAGUUUUACAAAAAUGCUUGCUGGAGUUUUGAUAGGAAUUGUGUUGAACCUAUAGAUCUAUUUGAGGGGGGAAUUGCCAUCUUGACAAGCUUGAGUCUUCCAAUCCAUGGACAGGGAAUGUCUCCAUUUAUUUAAAUCUUCAUUAAUUUUUCUUAGUAACGUUUCACAAUUUUUAGCGUACAAGUCUUAAACUUUUAUUACAUUUAUUUCUGUUUAUUCUUUUUGAGGCUUUGUGAAUAGAAUUUUUUUAAUUUUAUUUUUUGGGCUUGACAUUGCUGAUAUAUACAAAUACAAUAGAUUUUUAAAAUACUGAUCUUAGAUCCUGCAGCUUUGCUAAAUUCUUCGAUUAGUUCUAGAUAUUUUGUGUAUAGAUUCCUUGGUGUUUUCUAUACGCAAGAUUAUGCCAUCUGCAAAUAGAAGCAGUUUUAAUUCUUCCUUUACUCUCAGUCUGCUUUUAAUGAGCUAUUAUGUCUUCUGUUCUGUAUUGGUCAAACCCUCACCUGGAUCACAGUAUUUAUUACUGACCAUCACAGUUUCCUUGAGGAAAUGAAAAAAAUUAAAAAGAUAAAGUAACUAUUACCAUAAUCCCUACAUUCGGACACAAUAUUUAUGAGCAUGUGGGGUAAAUUCUUCCAGACACUCUUGCUAGAGGACGUGUAGCAGAGCUUAUGAUGCACUGAGCCACAUCCUCCAGCCACCAGAUUCCAGUGUAGCUGUGGUGAACUUUGCCUUGCACUUUACCAGUGUCCAUAUAAGCUCAUAUCACAGUGUCUUUCUGUUUUGCUUUCUGGAGGUCAGGGAAGCCUGCUGAGCUAUAUGUAGACCCAACCCAUAUUUUCAAGGUAAUACUCCUUAGUUGAUAGAAGCCCUCAGUCGAUGGGAACAGGAUUUCAUGGAUUAAUGCCCCAGCUCCCCCAUCCUGCAGGACAUAGAAUGUGUGACUAUCCAAGAUGCUUGCAACAUGGUUUCUCAGAGUUCCCAAUGGAAUUGAAUCCCAGCUGCAUACAACUGUAACCCACUCAUUUAUUAACUUUUCUCCCUUCCUCUUUCCCUUCACUUCUGUUUCCUAAGACUACUUCCCUCUAAAUGAUCUGCACCCAAGUCCUUGUCUCAAGGUCUUCUAGAGAAACCCAAACUAAGGCAGUUUGUCAAGGGACAAACUAGGGUACAUCUUUGAAACAGUCAUUAGGAGAGUGAGAGGUCCUGCAACGAUGUAAUAUAAAAGCAGUGAAAAUAGCUGAGAAAAUUAGAAAAAGAGAAAACUUACAGGAAUAAUCAUAGUCAUCUUUAAAUACCUGCAAAGUAAUCAGAUAUAAGAGGACCAAAGGAGACACUGGUUUUAACUGAGCACCUUCCAGGUUAUAUACUAGCUACUAUGAAGUGUAUUUAUUCCAUCCUUACAGCAACCCAGAGGCAAUGAGAACUACCCUUAUUUUUCAAAUAAGAAAACUGAGACACAGAUGAUUAAGGAAUUUGCCAAGGUCCAAAGCUAACAGGUAUUGGAACUAGGAUUCAAAUCCAAGCCUGUCUGCCCCCUAACCUGUGUCUUGCUGCUGUGUGUUUUGCUUUGAAGGGCAAAACAGAGACCAGCAGGUAGACAUUCUAAAUCCAUAGAAUUGUGUUUAUAUGAAUGCAGUGUGUGGCAGAGAUUGUCUAGAUGUUCAUCAAUGCUGUUUUCUCUGUUCUGUUUCUGGACAUACAGGAACACUUCAUGUCCUAGCCUCCUUUAUAAGUAGAUUGGGGCCAUGUAACAGGGUUCUGGCAAAUGGGAAUGUGCAGAUGUGAUAUGUGAUGCUCCUGAUUCAUUCAUUCUGUCUCUUUCUCUCUCUCCCUCUCAGCUAGCUGAAAGCAGAGAACCCAGCAGAGGAUUCUGGGAAGGUCCUGGGGGAUGGCAGAGCCAGCAGAGAGAGGGUAUGGAUCCACCAGGCAUAGGAUGGAACAGAGCACUAUUGACCACAGUGAACUGGGGCAUGGGCAAUCAAUAAACACAUAUUAGAUUAAGCUAUUGAGACUCAGGGAUUUUUAUACAACUGACAUUCCCUAAGAAGCCAUGAUCUUCCUGUCUCAGGAGGUGCAUAAGCAGUGGUUGAAUGUUCAACAGUCAAGAAUGUUAUAAAAAGAGGUUCUUGGGAGAGUGGACCUGAUGGCCAGCAAAAAUCAUAGCUCACAUUUAUUGAGUUAUUAUGGCUCAGGCAUGUGCACAUAUUCUUUUAUUUAAAUCUACAAUAUGCUUUAUCAUGCUCAUUUUAUACAUGAGGAACACAAGGCAUGGAGAGGUUAGAUAACAUGCCUAAGAUCAUGAAGCAAGCAAGGGGGAGAAAAGAUACCCUUCUCACUCCUUCCAGACAGCUCACUUCACCACCACUCCCCACUGUCUCUAAAGCAAAAGUUAUUUGAAGGCUUAGGGACUGGUUUGGUAUUAUCCAUGCAGGGCGGUUUGUUUUGUUUUUCUUUUAAAAUUUCAGCCUAUGCUUAAAAGAUUUCAUGUAAAAAUUCUGUUUUCUAGUUUCUCUUGAAAAUUAAGAAGAUCUGGUAAAACUGGGCUUGAAGACCAUUAUGGUAACAGGCUGCUGAAGCUGAGGAGAGGGCCCCUUCAGAUGGGCAUAAGCACUGCUCCCCCUCCCCAACCCCCCUUUUAGGUUACUAUCAGACUCUGGAAGCUUCUGAAUGUGUGAACCCUGAAAGAGUCCAUCUAAAGCUAAGUUCUCCCCAGGGGUAGAGCCCAAUGCUGGGCAUACAGUAGGG